rnacentral:lncRNA from 1 species
UUCAUUUUAGAAGGGACAGUGUAGACUUCCAUAAAAUAUGUGAAUCUAAGCUAAACAGACUAAGGACUGUAUUUAAAAAUCAUCAUGAUAAUUCUUUUGGCGAAAACUCCAUAUUUGUAAGAUCAUUAUUCAUUUAAUGGUUAAUUCGUGUAACAAAUAUUUAAGUCUGGGAUGGCAGUCAUACUUGGUAUUCAGAUUUCCUAACUUUGUCAAGUUUGAUUUUCUGUGCGUACAGUACUUUUGCUGCUUUUGAAAGGUAUGACAAAGUUUGCAUCUUAAAAACAAUGUUUUUGCUAAUCAAGUCAGAAAUUUUAAAAAGUAAAUGUUAAGAGCCAUAAAGUUAUUUGUUAUUUUAAAUUUAUAUUUCUUAAUACCAGUGCUGGAGCAUUUAUAAGU